GCGGGCGUGGCGGAACUGGUAGACGCGCUGGAUUCAAAAUCCAGUUCUGGUGACAGAGUGGGAGUUCGAUUCUCCCCGCCCGCACCA
rnacentral:tRNA from 1 species